rnacentral:lncRNA from 1 species
AAUAAAUAAAAGAAGACAGUGAGAGCUAGGGAUGCCUGAUUUUCUCUAGAGGAGGAAAAGGAAAAAGUACUCCAGGGAUGGAAACGGAGAAGAAUCUGAGGAAAAGAAGGUCCCAAAGUGGAUCCAGCUCAAGGGGAGGCUACAAGACCUGACACCAUUACUGAAGCUAUGGGGCAUUCACAAAAGGUGACUUACCAUGACUGCUCUCCAAACACCCAAAAAAGCAGCUGAAAGAGUCAGAUGCAGAUAUGUGCACACAACCAAUGAACAGAAGCUGCUGACUCCUCUGGUUGAAUUAGGGAAAAGCUGGAGGAAGCUGAGGAGGGAUGCAACCCUGUAGGAGAAUCAAUUAACCCCUGAGUUCUUAGAAACUGGAUCACCAACCAGGCAGCAUACACCAGCUGAGAUGAGGCCUCCAACACAUAGACAGCAGAGGACUCCCAGGUCUGGGUUCAGUCAGAGAAGAUACACCUAACCCUCAAGAGACUCAGGCCCCAGGAAGUUUAGAGGUCUCGUGAGGUGGUUGGGGUGGAGACACCCUUGUGAAUUCAGGGGAUGUGAGGGUGGGAGGAAUACGGGGAACAGGGAGGAGGUAUGAGAUGUGGGAAUCUCAGGGGUUGACUGGGAAGGGAAUAAAAUCUGGAGUG